rnacentral:rRNA from 1 species
UACAGAGGUCCCGAGCGUUGUUCGGAUUCACUGGGCGUAAAGGGUGCGUAGGUGGCGAGGUAAGUCGGAUGUGAAAGCUCGGAGCUCAACUCCGAAAUGGCAUUGGAAACUACCUUGCUCGAGGGUUGGAGGGGGGACUGGAAUGCUUGGUGUAGCAGUGAAAUGCGUAGAUAUCAAGCGGAACACCAGUGGCGAAGGCGAGUCCCUGGACAACUCCUGACACUGAGGCACGAAAGCUAGGGGAGCAAAUAGG